rnacentral:rRNA from 1 species
CCUACGGGUGGCAGCAGUGGGGAAUAUUGGACAAUGGGCGAAAGCCUGAUCCAGCCGUGCCGCGUGUGUGAAGAAGGCCUUCGGGUUGUAAAGCACUUUCAGUGGGGAAGAAAGCCUUGGGGCUAAUACCCUCGAGGAAGGACAUCACCCACAGAAGAAGCACCGGCUAACUCCGUGCCAGCAGCCGCGGUAAUACGGAGGGUGCGAGCGUUAAUCGGAAUUACUGGGCGUAAAGCGCGCGUAGGCGGUCUGAUAAGCCGGUUGUGAAAGCCCCGGGCUCAACCUGGGAACGGCAUCCGGAACUGUCAGGCUAGAGUGCAGGAGAGGAAGGUAGAAUUCCCGGUGUAGCGGUGAAAUGCGUAGAGAUCGGGAGGAAUACCAGUGGCGAAGGCGGCCUUCUGGACUGACACUGACGCUGAGGUGCGAAAGCGUGGGUAGCAAACAGGAUUAGAUACCCUUGUAGUC